rnacentral:rRNA from 1 species
GACGAACGCUGGCGGCGUGCUUAACACAUGCAAGUCGAGCGGUAAGGCCCUUUCGGGGGUACACGAGCGGCGAACGGGUGAGUAACACGUGGGUGACCUGCCCUUAGCUCUGGGAUAAGCCUGGGAAACUGGGUCUAAUACCGGAUAUGACUCCAUAACGCAUGUUGUGGGGUGGAAAGCCUUGUGCGGCUAGGGAUGGGCCCGCGGCCUAUCAGCUUGUUGGUGGGGUGAUGGCCUACCAAGGCGACGACGGGUAGCCGGCCUGAGAGGGCGACCGGCCACACUGGGACUGAGACACGGCCCAGACUCCUACGGGAGGCAGCAGUGGGGAAUCUUGCGCAAUGGGCGAGAGCCUGACGCAGCGACGCCGCGUGGGGAUGAC